rnacentral:tRNA from 1 species
GCCCUCGUAGCCCAAUCGGCAGAGGCAGGCGACUUAAAAUCGUCACAGUGUGGGUUCAAGUCCCACCGAGGGCA